rnacentral:rRNA from 1 species
AUACGGAGGGAGCAAGCGUUAUUCGGAAUCACUGGGCGUAAAGGACGCGUAGGCGGGUUAUUAAGUCGGGUGUGAAAUCCAAUGGCUCAACCAUUGAACUGCAUUCGAAACUGAUAACCUAGAGUAUGGAAGGGGCAGGUGGAAUUAGUGGUGUAGGGGUAAAAUCCGUAGAUAUCACUAGGAAUACCGAAAGCGAAGGCGACCUGCUGGGACAUUUCUGACGCUGAGGCGUGAAAGCGUGGGGAGCAAACAGGAUUAGAAACCCCAGUAGUCC